rnacentral:lncRNA from 1 species
UCUGUUUUCUCUAGAGGGUUAUACAUAACGGCAGCGAGCGCUCACACCUGGAACGAAAAAUUCAAGACUGGGCAUGUGGACUGGAAUAUAUGAUUUUCCCAAGUCUGCAUUUAGAAGAGUGAACUGCCAGAACAUCUGCGCUUGUUUUGGACAAGAGACUAAAGAAACAAAGGCCCUGUCCCUGGAGCCAAAAGAAUCCCCAUGUGUUGUUAGGAGUGUAGUGCCGAAGACACAGCUGAACAAGAUGAACUCCAUUUUACCAGAAGCAUUGACACAAAUGGAAAGUAGGUAGUUUGAUGCAUUUAAUCUGUUUUGCUGUUAUUGUGGUAACAACAGUACUAGCAGGAAAAACCUUGGUAGAACUGUAAGAACAGGGCAUGGCAUUCAUCUCACCUGCUUCAAUACAUCUGUAAAUUAAGCACCUAGCUUAAGCUAUUUUUCUAGGCCUCCUCUGGAAAGAUUCAGGCACCUACAAAGGUGAUUCAUCAUAGAUACUUAUCUUAGAACAGGAUGAAUAACUUCUGGUGUCUUUCUCCAUUGACAUUAGGGGGAGCCUAGUCCACCUAUAUUACACUAAGCCACUAACUUUCAGGUGACUAAAGUUAAAAGAGGUAAAUUCUGACCAGAAAACAGAGUCAGAAAAGCAGAGACUUGUGAUAAUGGUUAUAUUUACAGUUUAAAUGAUAGAUCUGAAAAUGCCAAUCGUGUCGACAUGGGAGGAAGGUGCCAACAUGCCGUUGACAGACACACCGAGUUACGCCGGUUGAACACCUACUCCCGUAUCGUCAGGAGGCCAACCUGUGGCUCGCUAACUGUGCCUUGCUCACAGCUUGUUCAAACCUGACUCCCAUGUUGGAGCCAUCCUGUCACUGUCACUAUGUUCCUAAUACUCAGCUGUGGGAGAAAACUAGCCAGGAAGGGCUGCUGAGGCCAACAGUGCCAGGUCACCUGAGCAAGCAGGAGAUCUCUGAGGAGAUUCUCAGGGAAGAUCCUAGGAUGACAUCUAAGGAUCUCUGAGGACGUAGAUCUACUGUCUCCUACCUGGAAGCUGGUCCCAGAGCCCUCCGGACUCUUGGUUCUUUGAGGUAUGUGUCUUGGGGCUACUGGACCUAGGAAGAUUCUCACAUAUGCAGUUGAUGGCAAAAUAAAAGGUGGCCACUGCUGCUUGAUUGCUUCUGU